UGGAAUGAGACCCANUUGGACUGGUGUAGG
rnacentral:piRNA from 1 species